AAUGCUGCUCUCCCUUUAUUUUUUUAGUAGUUUACACAGUAUUAUACUGUAUUGGCUUCUUUUUUUUUUUUUUUUUUUGGUCUCUGCAGCUGCCUGAUUGUGUACUUCUGCUUCCAAAUUAGAUGUGUAGUUCACCAGUCAGUUCGUAACUCUGGUGGUUCUACUGUAAUAUCCAUGCAUCUCACCAGGACGAUGUAAAAUUAAAUGCAUGAAAAUUAGUGAAGCACUUACACCGUAGCGAUGAGCACCACAGAAAACUCUACAAAGAAAUUAACAGCUCUGUCUUCAGAGCAGGAUUUGAGUAGUAUGUUGUAAACAAGGCGUUAUGGGGCCACAAAUUGAAUAAUGAGAACAACAAAACAUUGAACAGUUACUCACUAAGCGAGCACUGUCCAUUCUGUGCACUGAUUUAAAGACUACAUCAUAAUCCAUACGCACAAGGAGACCAAAUUAAGACUGUGGAGGCAAGCUUCAUUCUGACAUUUUCUAUCUUUUGAGUGCUUGACUUUGUAACCUUAAUGUUUUUAAUAUAGUUUUUGCAUAUCAUAGCUAUCUAAAAUACAUAGUAAUAGCAAAAGUAUUCCUUAUUUCAAUAAAAUGUAUAAAAUAGCGUUGAAGGAUUUCUUUAAAAAAUUACUUUAUGAAUUAAUAAAAAGUAUUUUUAUACAAGUCUGAUUUGAUCUCUUUCUGUGAUAGACGAUAAAUAAGGUUGAAUUUCAAGAGACAUGUAAUGUAAUGUAAGCUUCAACUUAUUGUCCUUGUAAUCAAACUAUUAACAUCCUAUUUCUAUUAUGAUUUUAAAAGUUAAAAUAGAUUUUUCACAAUCCCUGCAGCAUAAAUAUGAACAUAUCACAAAAAGAUGAAAGUGAAAUCUAACUAGAUUUAUUUAACUAUUGAUAAACGCUAUUAAAUGCAUGCUAUUUAUAUAUUUUAAAAAUAUGCUGUCUUGCCUAUUUAACACACAACAAUAUGCCGAGUGUUAAAGCUGAAUAUAAUAGGAUGCACACCUUUGAUUAUGCUUUUUUUUUGUCUAAAGUCAAAAUUUGCAAUUUAGUGGUCAAAAUUCUGCACUAUAUUCUUACCUUCAAUAAUAUUUCUUCCUUGCAUCAUAACUAAUCAUAAAUGUGAUCACUCAUAUCUAUUUUUAGCUUUUGCAGCUGACAAACUUUGUCUUCCUUCUGUUUAGCAGUUUGUUUUCUUUAAUUAUCAGUAGCUUUAAAAUGUAAAACAAUGCAUAAAGAGAUUAAUUAAAGAUGGUUGAUCAUGCAUGACAAAUGCAGUAAGUUAGAUAUUCAAGUUUUAAUUUUUUUAUAAGUGCUUUCUCACUUUAAUGGUAGAAGAAAAUUAUACCAUUAUAGUAAACAAAAAGCAAACAACUCACAAUUAGCUCAUUUGUAAACCUACUGGAACGCCCACACUCCAAGCAUAGAUAGAUGCAACAGUCAAAUGCCUUACAUGUUUACUACACUAAGGCCAAGUCUGCACUACAAAAGUAAGUUGACCUAACUUAUGCUGACAUACAGUUGCCACAGUAAUUACAUUGCUUCCGCUGACACAAGAGGGGUUUUUAAGUUGCUCUGAUCCUGUGUAAGAAACGCAGCACCAGGCAGCUGCAGAGGGAGAAAAAACAUCGCGAAAAGCCCAGUAAGUAUUACAAAGGUGGUAACAGUAUCAUGAUGCUUUAACUUGCAUAGAACUGUAGUUUGUUUUAGAAUUAAGACUUGAGAUAAGUGGUAAAUAGUGACAAUUUAUAGCGAAAAACCCAAAAUGGCGGCCGCAAUGAUUCUCUGUUAUAGAUCUUAAAAUGGAGGACGAAGAGCAGACAAGGGAUAAAGGUUAGAUAGAGUUUAACGGGGAAUGACUCAGCAUACGUCAGAACACCUAAAAGGGAGGGCUCCGGAGAGAGGAGGAUCUAUGCUAGUAAAUCAGGCGAGCAGAGGAUCUAUGCGACUGAGUUAGGAGGAGGAGCAGCUUGAAUAACAGGUGAAGCUGAUUGGCUAAGCAAAUGUCGCUCCAUGGGGAGGAUCUAUGCUAAUGAGCUGGACUUGAGAAAGCAACCAAUGAGAGGAGGGCUGGUAAUCCUAUAUAAAGGCUGACAGCCAGCAGGCUUGUGUGUGGGUGUUUGAGCUGGGGUGAAGAGAUCAGGGGGUGAAGAGAGUGGUGGGAGCUGAAGAAGCCACAGCAGCAGAAGAAACAGCAGCAACUGAAGAAGCAGCAAAAGAAGCAGGAGAAGCAGCAGCACAGGCAGUAUGAAGCCAAUAAGACAGAUCAAAAGGACCCCGAAAGAUGAAUCAGAGGAAUUUUUGAGAAGGAAGAGUGGCAUUUUACACCUCAGGAACCCCUUACUCAACUGACUCCAAAUCUGGAUCACUGACUGACCCCUGGCACCACUAUGAGAUCCACAGGAUGGGUGCUACACCACCGGCUUUGGAACAGUCUCCUGGAGGAACUCACUCAGGGUGCCAGAGCCCCAAGGGGAUUCACUCUUCCUUCAGGAUAGGCCACGAGGCCUCAUCACUUCCUAAGACUGAACUUCUGUGGCUUCAGCACUCCGGCUUCACAUCACAAGCUCUAUUCAGUGAGUCCAACUGAGACAGACUCCUGAUAGAGACUUUGUAUGUUCUUCAGGAAUUACCAAUCUCACCAAAUCUCACCAAGCAUUUGCAGAGACACUUAAGCUACGUUGUCAAAACCGUAGGGUUUAUUCGUCAGCUGGCACACAACAUAGGAAGUCCUCAGGUUAGCAUAGAGAAAUAAAGGUUAAGGCAUAGAUCAUUCUGGUUAGCCCACAGUGCCCAGCCAAGCUGUAGGAAACCCCAGGUUCAGGUUCUGUCUCUCUUCAUCUCACCUCCUUGUCAGUUCCUCUGUGAGAACCAUAACUCCCUCCAGCAGCCAACACUUAGCCCCCUGCUUCCCCCUCAGACCUUCCCAAAUCUUUGUUCUGGAAGUAAGAGAUCUUGCUCAGCUUCCUUGCUGAGAGGCGGGGAAAUCCAUCUCUGUCUUGGUCUAUGGUUGAUAGGUGUCAAUGUCCUGAUGACUGGAUUUGCCAUUGUCUUCUCAGACUCUCCACUGAUAUGGGAUCAGCCUUGACCAGUCCUUUUUAAUGGCCAUUCACAUUCAGCUAGGCAACAUUCAUACCUAUCUCUCUCAGCCUACCCUGAGAGCAAACAGUAAUUUUUCUCUCCCACUGAGUAACCAUGUGCAUUACAGGGAAAACUGAGGCACACAGAGGAUUCAUAGACUUAUUACAGAAAAUUCCUGCUUCAUCACAGUCAUGCUAGGCCUUUAAUCAAACACUGCAGUUAUCACAAAAAUAAAAAAAGUAUGUUUUCUACAUACUAGAAAUGGUUAGUUUCUUCAUUAACCAAUGAAGAAAAAGCAGCCAAAGCCUAAAUUAGUCAUUAAAAUUAUGAAGUUUUAUCUACAGAACAAAGGGUGUUUGAAGGCUACAACAACAGAUCAGAAAUACUUCAGAGAAAAAGGAGGAUGGUCCAGUCAUUAGGAGACUAACCUAUGAAGACCCGAAACCAAUUCCCUGCUCCUCCACAGACUUCCUGAGUCACCCUUGGCAAAUCACAGCUUGUCUAUGCCUCAGUUCGUCAUCUGUAAAAACAAUAAUAGCACCUCUCUACCUCACAAGACUGUUGUGAGGAAAAAUGCAUUGAAGAUUGGGAGGCACUCGUUUGUAGUUACACCCAAGAUGCAUCUACACUAGAAACACUACAGCAGCAACUCUGUAGUGUAAACAUUUACUACAAUGAUGGAAGGGGUUCUUCUGUCACUGACAUAAAUCCACACCUCCAAGAGGUGAUAGCGCAACAGAAGAAACCACAGCUUAGGUAAGCUUAAUUACAUCACACAGGAUGUGAAAUUUUUCACAAUCCUGAACGAGCUAGUUAAGCCCCACUAAUUUUUUAGGGUAGAUCAGCCCACAAUAAUUACUUAUGUUUUAAGAGAUCAGAUACCACUUCAAAGGUCAGGAAAAAAUCCUGCCCAUAUCAUGUCCUCCCCUCUCCACAAAAAAAGGGUAAAACAGGAGAAGAGGGGAGGGGUGGGUUGCUGCCCAGUUUUAGUGCUGAAGUUGUUCAUAAGUCUGUCUCACUGUAGUGAUAUAGAGUUAUCUGGAUGACCUUUUUAAGUUACCUAGUUUUACCUACUUCCUUCCCUCCUCCCCUCCCCACCCUAUCCCGCUCCAGUUAUGGAAACCCAAGGUUAACUUUCUGGUUGGUUAUCUUCUUUAGGUUUUGGUAUGGACUUGAAAUGAACACCUGUGGUAUUGAUGUCCUUAACAGAUUCCUAAAAGGCUUACGUAUGUAUUGGUCAGGACAGCUGUGCAACACUGAUGUUUUGUCAUCCCAGUGAGAGAGUGUUAAUUAACAGAGUACAAUGGAGUAAAACAUCAUUGCUUGCAGAAACUCAACAUCCCAAAAUGUACAUAGCUUAGCACUUCUCAUGUGACCAAGAGGAAAUCUGCAGGCAUAAAGUAAUUCACAGAGUGGCUCUCAUAUAGGGCCUUUGGCUACUACCUUUCCAGCUUUGCUGAAGCCAAUGCAGUAAUUGUAGUGCCAGUAUGUGACUAUGUACGCUUCUUGAAGUUUGCAUGCUUAUUAACUAUUAACUCCAAAAGUAUAGUUUACUAAUUUUCUGAAAGCAGUUAAACAGCAAAGUGGGUAAAAGGGUUAACCCUAAGUUUAAAAAAAUAUAUAUAUAUUUUUUUGUUUAUCAAGAGCUGAAAUCUGAAGAUAGGUUCAAAAGGGGUCUGUUAUAUGCACGACACCCCUACUUUUAAUUCACCAAAACCCCAAGAAUAUGAUUAAAUUAAAAAGCCUAUGCAAAGAUUUCACGAGGAAAAAAGGCCUCAAAAACAAAUUGUCUAAAUAAAAGGCAUGGUAUAACAAGAUACUUUUAAUAGGUUUGAUGUUAAUAUUAAACAUUGGGAUAAAUUUAAUGUUAAUAAGUAUCCCUGUAACAAUGUAUAGGAUGUAUGAUUUUUCAAAAAAAAUUUAAGGUCAUAUGGUAAUGAUGCUUCUCAGCUGUUACUUGUGAAUAAACUUAAAACUUAGCACUGCAGAAAAAACCAUUACAACUUGGUCUGCUGUAUAAGAAAAACUGAGGCACACCACCUCAUAAAUUUAAUAACUGAACAGCGGGAUAAUUCACCCUAAACCCUUAAAAGGUAGAAGCCAUUGAAACCUGGCCUGCCUAUAGAACAAAAACACAGGAAACUCUGGGGGUAAUUCCUCUGUUUUGCCUGCAAUCAGCAAGGGUAUUUGUAAAAGAAAGGGAUAUUUUAAGCGAUAACCUUCCACCCCAAAAGGAGUAGAAACAUGUUCUUUUUGUCUUUCAGAAAAUCAGAAAAAGCUGGUACCAGCUAAAAAGCAACCCAGAAUACCAUGAACCUACUGUCACGACAAAAAUUGUGUUUUGUGUUUUAUGUUUUGUCUUGUGUUAUUUGUCUUGUUGCUAGCAUUGUUGUGUAUUGUGUUACAAAAAAAACCUAUUGCAUUAGGCAAAAAAGAAUUAAUAAGCAUUUUAACUGUAUUUACAGAAACCAAUGUUGCAGAAGGGCAGAGGUCAAGGAAUGCCAGUCUGUUAACAGGAAAAAACAUCCUCAGGAUCCAUCCAAUGAUCAGACUGCAAAUUCCCUCAUCAGUUUUCCCAAUCACUUUAUCUACUUGCAUUUUAAAAAGAUCAAAGAGUUUUUACCCACUUCAUUACUCUCAAAUACACAUUUGCCUUUCCAAAUUCCUCCCAUGUCAUUCUGUCAAUGAUGUUGAUAUCUAACCAUCACUAUAUUGCCAUAUUUGCAUGACACUCCACAUUUCUGCAGCCUUCCUCUCCUCUUUACUCAUAUCAUGAACACUUCCAACAGAUAAUAAAGGCAACACUUUAAUUUGACAAAAUACUAUUUUUUAAUAGCAUAUGUGCAAAGAUAUACAUAUUGUCUCAAGAUCCUGGAUACCACUGACCAAAGGACAUUUUCUUAAGACUAAUGCUUUCAGUGAAAAAUAACAGUUUCCUGAUAUAGUAAUCAAACUGUUGCUACUAUGUUGAUGCUUCUGGGAAUGAUAUCACAGGCGAAGGAAUCAACUCAUACCUUUAGUUGGUAAGUAAUUAAGUUGUUAGUGGUAAAUAAAGUAUCUAAUUUUAAUAUUUCUCUUUUAAACAAAGACAUAGAUCAUUAAAAGGCCUGUGAGAAAACAAAAUUACCUGUUACUAAGAAGGCCUCAAAACCUGCUUGUGGCCACAACACACAAAAACAAUGCAAAAAAUUUAAUUCUAUUAAAUUGAAGGGUACAAUUUUAAUCCUUAAAACCACAUGCCCAUUUGGAAAAUUAACAAGGAAACACAGAAAGAUACCAAAGCAUGUUCAAUAUUAUGCUAGUUUUAUCAGUAAGAUUUUUUUUUAAAUAAGUUUCAUUCUGGGACACUUAAAAAAAUCUAAACUAUCUCAAAUAAUCUGUCAUCCUUUUAACACUUUCUCAAGCAGAAUUAAUGUGGAUUUUUCUCUUUUUAGUUGUAUUAUGAAUAAUAUAGCUUAGCACAUAGUUCUGUCAUUUGGCUAAAAAGUUACAUUAAUUAUCUAAUAAAAAGUAAAGUUUCACAAUUUUCAGCUUCAACACAUUCCUACUGAUAACAGUGAAAAAAUAUGUGUAAUUUAAGUUUUAAAGUAACAGGCUGAGGUACAGUCUUAGGCCUACAUUACAAACUUAUGUUGACUCAAGUUACACCAGCAUACAGCCACCGCAGUUAAUAUAUUGUUUAUGUGCGUGCAUACUUGGCUCCUUGUAUCAGCAGUGCAGGUACUCACCAGGAGUGCUUGUAUCUAUGCAUAGUGAAGUGUACCUUGGAUAGGUAUCCCACAGUGUAACCUGCCACCAUUCAGUGCACUUGUUGGAAAGAUUUGGCAAUGCAUGAUGGGGCCGAAACAAGUCAUGCAGGGAUGACUUGGACUGCAGGGUAAGUUUUCCAGUUUGCAAUGGUCUCCACCCCAUAAUGUUACUUGUAUUCCAUAGUUUUCAUGAUUUUUUUCAAAUGCCCACAAGCCUCCAUGGCACUCCUUGCUGUCCAUCAUCUCUGACAGAAGCAUUGACCUUGCACACUCUGCACUACUGUCGUGAGUGUUGCAAGCACAGGACACACAAUCCUGGAGUAUUUGCAGAGUCGCAAGGAGAAUCAAAUCAGUGGGGAACAUGAUGAUUCCUUGGAAGAUAGAUCGCUGUGGGACACAGCGAGAACCAAUUCACGGUUGUUGGUGGCGUUCAUGGAGGAGCUGCAGCUGGCUGAGUGCCACGUCUGAGUUCAAGAAAAAAAGCACUGAUUGGUGGGGUUACACCAUAAUGUAAGUUUGGGAUGAUAAGCAGUGGCUACAGACCUUUCAGAUGUACAAGACCACAUUACUGAAUCUGUGUCCAGCACAGGGACACCCAAAUGAGAGCUGCACUGACAGUGGAGGAGUGAGUAGCAAUCGCACUGUGGAAACUUGCGAAGCCAGAUUGAUAUUGGUCAGUCACAACUCAAUUUGGAAUCAGGAAAUCCACCAGGGGGACUGUGGAGGUGAAGGAAGCAAUUAAUGGCCCUGCAUACUUGCUACACCGGACUGUGACUCUUGGCAAUGUGCAGGACAUACUGGACGGAUAUGCAGCAGUAGGAUUCCCAAAGUGCAGCAGAGCAAUAGAUAGUACGCAUAUCCCUAUUUUGCCACCAAACCACCUUGCUACAGAAUACAUCAACAGAAAGAGCUACUUUUCUGUGGUUAUGCAAGCACUGGCAAAUCACCAGGAAUGUUUCACUGACAUCAGUGUGGGCUGGUCAGGGAAAGUGCAAUACAUUUGCAUCUUCAAGAACACAGAUCAAUUCAGAAAGCUACAAACAGAAACUCUCUUUCCUGAAUAAUGAAUUACCAUUGGGAAUGUUGUGAUUCUGGGAGAUCAGCAGUGAUCCUGAGGGAUCCAGCCUAUGCCUUACUCAUGAAGCCGUACACCAGCCACCUCAAUAGCACCAAGCAACGAUUCAACUACCAGCUCAGCAGGUGCAGGGUGACAGUUAAAUGUCCUUUUGGUUGUUUGAAAGAAGGACACUGGUGUUGUUUACUCACCAGACUGGACCUCAGUGAGAAUAAUAUCCCAAUCAUUAUAGCGGUCAGCUGUGUCCUGCAUAAUAAUAAUAAUGUAAAGAAAAGGAGGAAGAGUUCUCACCAAUGUGGAGGGCAGAGGUGGAGUGGCUGUUAGCUGACUUUGAAUAGACUGAUACAAAGGAUAUUAGAAGAGCCCAGCACGGAGCGAUAUAGUUCAAGAAAGCUUUGAAAGACUAUUCUAAACAAUGAGCUAGAGUACUUUGUGUUGUAGUGCACUCUACCUGGCCCUGUUCUUUUGUGGCCUGCUAGGAAUUGUGUGGUUAUUGCUGUACAUGUACGAAUAUAACUUUGUCAAUGCACCUAUUAAUUGUUAGAGCAUGCUCCUAGGAGCUGUGCAACACCAUGCAGUAACAGGUGUUGCUUUCAGAACUGCUGUGUACUUGGCACCAUAUGUUGUGAACUAAUAAAGACGAAU